GUGGAGGUCUAUUCCAAUGGGGCUUUUCCUGUAGCUGCAUGUUGUUGGAAACUCCUGAUAGACUUAACUCUGUGGUUUUGUUUACUCACAGGACUAUUAGUUAGGUCUGUGGGAAGGAACUACAAGACAGUU
ensembl:snoRNA